AGCCGAAGUAGCAGAAAUUUGCGAAAAUUGAUCGAGGGAAUGGAGGAUUUUGAGAAGAAGGUGUCCAUAUCAGAACCAAUGGCCAUCGCUGAACCAGAAAAUAUGGAGAUUCAAGCUAGAAAAGGACUCAAACAAUUCGAGGGAUUUUGAAGAUUAUAGAGUUUCGGGAGGUGAAUUGGCUUACCAGUAGCUUUGCAGAGAGAUCACUCUCGAGUUCAAUGAUAGAUUGAAGCAGCUUAUAGCAGAGAGGAUGUGGCUAGCUUGCUGAAAUCAGUUCAAGUACAAUAAAAGGAGAAAUUGAAUUUAACAGCUACAAUUCAAGUGCUGAAGAAGGCCGGACGGCCCUCAGAACGCUUGGUAAGCCAUGAAAACUGCAGAUAUACGCAUUCUACGGGGCACGAAUGCAUGCACAUCCAGCAAAUAACUGAGGAAUCUGGAACCGGGGAGGCUGAGCCCGAUUCUGAAUACGAUAAUGCCCUCAAGGAAGCUGUUAAAGGCAUUCAAGACGUGGUCAUUUCUAUAAACGAAUACUUGGAAGAAGUCAGGUAUGAGAUUGCAGCACUGGGAGAUUGGUGGUGCAAGUGCAAGGCUGAUCCAAUCCAUCAUGGAUCCUUUCAGUUUAACGUAAUUAAUUUUUUUUUAUCAUGAUUCAUCCUAAAUUAAUUGAGUCGUAUUAUUUUUUUGAAUGUAUUAUGUUAAGUUUUUCAUCGGGCAAAAAAUCAACCAUUCUGUAUUCUUCUUACUUCAUUUUCUCUCAUAUUUUAAUUUUAGUGUGUCGUUAA